rnacentral:rRNA from 1 species
UCGAGCGAAUGUAUUAAGAUCUUGGUCUUCUGAAUGUAGCGCCGGACAGGUGAGUGCACGUGUGUAACCUGUGCAUAUAACAGUGAUAUCUCCCGGAAACCCGUGCUAUUACCGGAUAACAUUUUUUUCCUCAUGGUUCGAAAUUGAAAGGCGGCUUCCGCUGUGCCUUAUGGAUGGACCCCUGUCGCAUUAUCUAUUUGGUGAGGUAACGGCUCACCAAGGCAACAAUGCGUAUCCGACCUGUGAGGGUGAUCGGCCACACUGUGGACUGAGACACGGCCCCCACUCCUACGGGAGGCAGCAGUAGGGAAUCUCUCCCCAAUGGACAAAAGUCUGACACGAGAAACGCCGCGUGAGUGAUGAA